rnacentral:rRNA from 1 species
AAAUUGAAGAGUUUGAUCAUGGCUCAGAUUGAACGCUGGCGGCAGGCCUAACACAUGCAAGUCGAGCGGUAGCACAGAGAGCUUGCUCUCGGGUGACGAGCGGCGGACGGGUGAGUAAUGUCUGGGAAACUGCCUGAUGGAGGGGGAUAACUACUGGAAACGGUAGCUAAUACCGCAUAACGUCGCAAGACCAAAGUGGGGGACCUUCGGGCCUCAUGCCAUCAGAUGUGCCCAGAUGGGAUUAGCUAGUAGGUGGGGUAACGGCUCACCUAGGCGACGAUCCCUAGCUGGUCUGAGAGGAUGACCAGCCACACUGGAACUGAGACACGGUCCAGACUCCUACGGGAGGCAGCAGUGGGGAAUAUUGCACAAUGGGCGCAAGCCUGAUGCAGCCAUGCCGCGUGUGUGAAGAAGGCCUUCGGGUUGUAAAGCACUUUCAGCGGGGAGGAAGGCGGUGAGGUUAAUAACCUCACCGAUUGACGUUACCCGCAGAAGAAGCACCGGCUAACUCCGUGCCAGCAGCCGCGGUAAUACGGAGGGUGCAAGCGUUAAUCGGAAUUACUGGGCGUAAAGCGCACGCAGGCGGUCUGUCAAGUCGGAUGUGAAAUCCCCGGGCUCAACCUGGGAACUGCAUUCGAAACUGGCAGGCUAGAGUCUUGUAGAGGGGGGUAGAAUUCCAGGUGUAGCGGUGAAAUGCGUAGAGAUCUGGAGGAAUACCGGUGGCGAAGGCGGCCCCUGGACAAAGACUGACGCUCAGGUGCGAAAGCGUGGGGAGCAAACAGGAUUAGAUACCCUGGUAGUCCACGCCGUAAACGAUGUCGAUUUGGAGGUUGUGCCCUUGAGGCGUGGCUUCCGGAGCUAACGCGUUAAAUCGACCGCCUGGGGAGUACGGCCGCAAGGUUAAAACUCAAAUGAAUUGACGGGGGCCCGCACAAGCGGUGGAGCAUGUGGUUUAAUUCGAUGCAACGCGAAGAACCUUACCUGGUCUUGACAUCCACAGAACUUUCCAGAGAUGGAUUGGUGCCUUCGGGAACUGUGAGACAGGUGCUGCAUGGCUGUCGUCAGCUCGUGUUGUGAAAUGUUGGGUUAAGUCCCGCAACGAGCGCAACCCUUAUCCUUUGUUGCCAGCGGUUCGGCCGGGAACUCAAAGGAGACUGCCAGUGAUAAACUGGAGGAAGGUGGGGAUGACGUCAAGUCAUCAUGGCCCUUACGACCAGGGCUACACACGUGCUACAAUGGCAUAUACAAAGAGAAGCGACCUCGCGAGAGCAAGCGGACCUCAUAAAGUAUGUCGUAGUCCGGAUUGGAGUCUGCAACUCGACUCCAUGAAGUCGGAAUCGCUAGUAAUCGUAGAUCAGAAUGCUACGGUGAAUACGUUCCCGGGCCUUGUACACACCGCCCGUCACACCAUGGGAGUGGGUUGCAAAAGAAGUAGGUAGCUUAACCUUCGGGAGGGCGCUUACCACUUUGUGAUUCAUGACUGGGGUGAAGUCGUAACAAGGUAACCGUAGGGGAACCUGCGGUUGGAUCACCUCCUUA